UAUUGGUCAAUGGAGGAAACUCUGACCCAAGGACACCGCCUGCGGGAGGAAGGCCUUCGGGUGGUAAACCGCUUUCAGUAGGGAAGAAGAGAAAAUGACGGUACCUACAAAAGAAGCACCGGCUAACUAUGUGCCAGCAGCCGCGGUAAUACAUAGGGUGCAAGCGUUGUCCGGAAUUAUUGGGCGUAAAGAGUUCGUAGGUGGUUUGUUAAGUCGGAUGUGAAAACCUGAGGCUCAACCUCAGGCCUGCAUUCGAUACGGGCAAUCUAGAGUUUGGUAGGGGAGAAGGGAAUUCCCGGUGUAGCGGUGGAAUGCGCAGAUAUCAGGAGGAACACCAAUGGCGAAGGCAGGUCUCUGGGCCAAUACGCCAUUAAGAGCGAA
rnacentral:rRNA from 1 species